AAAAAAUAGAAAAAUAUUAAAAAAAUUAAAAAUGAUGAAAAUAUGAAGGAAAAUAUAAAAAAAAAUUAAAGAUAAAAUAGAAAUUACUAUGUUGACCUCCAAUCAAACAAUUUAUUUAAAAGAAACGAAAUUGGUUUUCAAUAGUUUUCAUUGUUUAAAUAGUGUGAGAAAUGAGAUUUUAGGUUUUAUAACUGCUAAUUGAAUUUUGAUGGAUUAAAAAAUAUAUAAUUAGAAAAAUUGAAAUCAAUAUGAAUAGAAAUAAAAAAAAGUAAAACUGAAAAAAAUAUCCAAAAAAAGAAACACAAAAAAGGAGAUGAGAAAAAAAAUCGAAAGUGGAAAAUCUUAAAGAGAUAAAAAUUUAAAAAAAAUUGAAAUUUAUGAAAUUAAUUUGCGGCUUUAUCGGUGAGGGUUAAAGAGUUGAAAUGAAAGACGGAUAGAAGAUCAGAAGAAAAUGUCUAAGGUGGUGAAAAGAGCGAAGAGCAUUUGGAAUAGAAGCUUGACCACAUACUAAAUUCUUUGUCCUGCACCAAUUAACUGUGUUGAAGAAGUAGUACCCAAUAGAACCAUCCAUAAUUAACUGAAUCGAAAAAUGUAGUGCCUCCUCUAUUGGGUACAAUACAGUUAAUUGGUGCGGGACAAAGAAUUUAGUAUGUGGUCAAGCUUCUAUUCCAAAUGCUCUUCGCUCUUUUUACCAACUUAGAAUUUUCUUCUGAUCUUCUAUCCGUCUUUCAUUUCAACUCUUUAACCCUCACCGAUAAAGCCGCAAAUUAAUUUCAUAAAACAAAUUCACGGUGAUUUCUCUUCUUAAAAUAAUAAAAAGAAAUACAAAAUAAAAAAUUAAAAAAAAUUUAAAAAGUGACAAAAUUAAAAAAAAAAGUAAAAAAAAAAUGAAAAAAAUAAAUUAAAUUUUUAAUCGAAUAAAGGACAGAUAAUAAACAAAUUAAAAAGAGAGAAAAUAGUUGAAUAAAAAACUGCAGAAAGAAAACACUGAAAAAAAUAUAGGUAAAAAAACACAAUAAUAACGAGGAACAAAUUAAUUUAAGAAUAAAAAUAACGCAAAAUUUAAAUAAUGAAACGGAUUUUACAAAUAAAAAUUAAAGACAAAAAUUUGGAAUUGAAACUUGAAUACGUCUUCUAAAUUUUAAAUUUUAUUUUAAAAUCUUAAUAUGAAGGUUGAUUUUAAACUUUUUAUCAUAAACCCGAUUCUAUAUUGAUAAAUCUAUAUCAAAUUAAAAAUGAGCACACAAAAAGCAAACCCACAAACGAUGAAACGGUCGAGAUCGAAAUAAAAUCCGAUUUAUUACGAAAUUUGCGAACUCCUGGCCAAAAGCUAUUCUCUUUCUCUUGAUCUUUACUCAUUCAGUGACGAUCAUUCAUCCAUUCAUCUGAGAUGGCUCGAGCGCCAAGAAAGAAAGCAAUGCAACAACUGGCUCGAUCUCCGGUGCCUUUCUUGCCACGGUUGCAGACCGUAGUGAACCGUGUGCUGGAUCGGAUUGCGUUCCGCCGUUUUCCGUAGUGAAAUUUUGUUUUACCGAAAAAGUGAGCCAUAAUUGUUAGUGAAAUUUCUCAAGUUGGCUGCCGGAAUUUGCUGGAUGUAUCCCUCUUAGUUUUUAAUUCUUAUAAAUUGAGUUUUGGGAGUUUUACAAUUGAAGACAAGGAAAAGCCUUUCGAACGGAAAACCCUUCGUUAACUAACCGAAGAACUUAGCCUGAGGGAAAAUCACCCGAGGCGCUAAGAGGAAGUGAAUGAAAUAUGUACAUCGCAGGAAAUACACAAACAGCAAAAACAAAAAUCGCAUCGAGUGAGAGUGAAAGUGCUUUUUUCCCUGCUUGGUGCUGAUCGCGUCGCCACCUCUAUAGCUUGGUGGAGAGUUAGGAAAAGGUCAUCUGCCUGGUGAUCUCACUCUUUCUCUCUUGCUUUUGCGGAUUCACUGGUGUGACGGACGCCUAACUGGUGGAUUGCUUGCUCAUUGCGAACUUGCGUCGAAGAUCUGCAGAAGAAUGUUGAAUGGCGUUGCUCUUGAGAUGCUGUGAAGAGUGAUGGUCUGAUAGUGGUGAAUGGUGAUGCUGGUGGUGGGCGGGAGAGAUAUGAUGGCGUAACUUUUCCAAGCGCUCCGAGAUGGGAAAUGCAAUUUACUUAUGCAGCAUCAGCAGCAAUAACAAACAGCAUCAGUGUGAUGGCAACAGGUGUGAAUUUUGUCGAGUGUGGGAAAAAGUACGGUGGAAAUGCUCUGUUACUAUACUACUUCACCAUCAGCUUCGGUUGGUUGGUGGUGUAAUUCCGUGAUGAUGAUGAUGAUGAUGAUCGUGAUUGAGUGAUUAGCAGCAGUGGCUCUCCGACACCAAUGAGAUAACCGAAAAAGGUCAUUGUAGUCGGCUCGGUCGGAAUUGUGGAAAAAAAAUAAUUAUUCGGAUCAGCAAACUCGUCAUAAUUCAAAUUUUGAAAGCUGAAAGAGGGUCAUGCAACGGAUUAAAUGUUUGUUGAAAAACGACUAAUCCUGCUAAAAGUUAAACGGAACAAGUUUAUACAUUGAAUUUUUUACGUGUCUUUGGAAUAGUUGAGUCAAUUACAAUAAUGAGGUAGCACAAAAAUGUUCAGAAACAAAUGCAGAAAAAAUAACUUCAAUUCUUCCAAUAAAUGUGAUGCAAUUAUAGGUCUGAUUGCAAAUACCUGUACUUGAAGGUUUGGAACUAUUUUGGAAGAUAAAGGAUUGCAUGUGUACGAUUUUUUAAUGUUUUCAAGACAUUGAAAACAGCGCCCUUCAAACACUUAUGACUUAUUUUUGUUGAUAAAAACGGAUUAGAUUCUAUUCGCCGAUGAUUGUUACGUCUAAGGGCUUCUCAACGCUCAAGUGUGGAAUUACUUACACAGCUCUGAUUGGAUGCACUUCAGGGUUUGCUCGCGAAUCGGAAAUACCGGAAAAACCUUUGGAAUUUCGUUGCUUCACCGGGAUACCGAGAAAAAAAACCGGAAGAUUCAGUACAAUACCGGGAAAACUGUUAUGGUUGGAAAAAUUUCACAAAUUUCAAAAAUAUUCAGCCUAACCGACUCGUGCAUUGCUAAUCGAAGCACAUUGACUACCUACUCUUCGAUGAUUUGAAGAAUGUCAAGCUUAAAAAAAAAUCUUUUAAAACACGUUGGCUUAUCCAUCCAAAAAAAAACGAAAAAAAAAGAUUCUCAGAUGAAUAAAAUUACUUUCGUUCUGUUGUCUGACAUUUUUUUACUCUGUGUGCUUUACAACACAUCUAUUUAGGAGAAAUCCAAAUCAUAUCGCCAGUUUCCUUAAACUGAGAACCCUGAUUUAACCGGAUUCAAUUUUUUUUUUUGUAGAGCGUUUAGACCCCCAUUAUCGACAUAUGUACUGUUUUUUUUUCUAGGAAUUUAACCGGUUUGUGUUAUUCUUAAUCCAUUGGCAGAUGAACCUAGUUUGAUUCGUAAGAAGCUUCUAAAAGACUAUACAUUUCGAAGUUCGAAUCUUUUUGCCUAAUACUCCUGUCAAAGUCAGUUCAUUAAACCCCCUUUUUGGAUUAGAAUCUGUGGCAUCUUUCAAUUUGGGAUGAAUCAUCCCAGAGGAUUAAAAGCCUGAAAAAAAAGCUUUUUUGAAUUCAAACAACACCCAAACAAAUCAAAUUUAAAAAAAAACCUUAAUACAUUAUUUAACUUCCAGUUUUCAACAGCUUUGUUGCCCACUCAUGAAAAUAAAUCAAUCAACUAUAAAACUCGUAGAAUUUGAAUACCGUGAAAUGAAAAAAAAAAAGUGAUUUUCAAACUUUCACGGUUCUUAAACAAUGCAUUUUUUAAGUUGUUCCCUCAGCAAUUUUUUUGCCUAAUUUUUACCAUACUUAAAUAAACAUAUUUUCUGCCACUCACACGUUUAUUAAAAGAAAAUACAACAGAUGCAAAUUUAGAGGUAAAAUUGCGAUUUUUUGAUAAACCAAAUGAAACUGAGAGCCUUAGCUAUAUGGACUCAAGUUAAACAAAUAUUUUCUUAAGUUUUUUUUUUCAAACUCGAAAUUAAGUUGUUUUGGUUCAAAACAGUCCUUUAGUGGCAGUCCUCAAUUUUGAAUUCGACUGGGCAACCACAAACUUAAAUUCUGACUAGCAUACUCAAAACUAAGCUCGACAGCUGAACUCCAAUUUGAACUUUUUUAAUGCCUUUAUUCGAAGCUACUCAAAAUGCAGUUGGGCAGCCCAACUCGCUGAGUACAUUCAGUUCAACAUACACAAAAGUGUUCAAUUUUCAGUUCAUUAGGUCGAUAUCAGUUUUGCUCCCUCGCCGAAGAAAAAAUGGGAUUAGUUUAAGUUCGCAGUUCGAACUCCGUUUUGAACCAUCGCGUCGCAAGGAGGGAUAAUGGAACUCAACUUUACAGGGUGUUCAAUAAGUUCGUAAACGCUUUUUAACCAAAUGGUGUGGUAAAGCCGUAGCCUAACUUUUUUUUUUAAAGUAAUUUGGUGCUAUUAUCAGACAAACUAUUCUUUGUACCGAAGAAUUAAUUUUCAUUAAGUGUUUGUUUUUCAUUUUUAUUAAGUGUUCGUUUUUCAUCAGCCUUUUCACACCACAAGUACUAGUACAGGCAAAAAAUCCAAUUUAUUGACCAAAAUAAAUAGUUUACAGGUCACCUAAUUUACCUCCUUUGGUCAAAUUCUCAUGAUCAUUGAUGAUGUAGAGAAUAAAUAAGUACAGAAUUUCUAAACUCGUCUCAUAUAAACUCUAUUUUUUCGUAUUAUGUGUGAAAUGUCGAAAAAGUAGCUACGUGCUAGCUGAUUUUCAUCAAUAGGCUUAUCAACGUGAUGGAGCAUAGAAUAAUUGCAUAUCAUAAAUAGAUGAAAACCAUUAAAUAUGUGCUUGUGUAUUAAGUUUACAUUGGUCAUUAAUGGAUUUUUUGGCUAAUUUUGCAUGUAGUGUUUGUUUUUCUAGGUCAUUUUACACAGAAUAAUACAGGUUUUUGGGAAUAUAGGCUCAAAAUGAAAAGUGCCUUGCCCUUCAAACAUUGCUCUCUUGGAUUGGUUAGUUAUAUCGUACAUGUUGUCGAGAAUAAACAAGUACCUACAGGAAACCUAUUUUGACUCUCUAUAAAAAUCGUCAGCAUUCUUAUGGAGAACGAAUUUUCGAUAAUAGAGGAGCGUGCCGCAUGCGAGAGAGCACUGAAGCUCAUAUAAUUGGUUUAAGGUAAAAAUUUUCCUAAACAAAAGGUGUGAUUGACCAUUAUUGAAUUACCUUUCCAUUUGAUUAAAAAAAAGUCGGUUCAGUUGAUUUUGAAUUACCGUUAGAUAUUUUAAUUUGUAUUUGAACUUAUUGAACACCCUGUAGUUCAAAGAAUCCAACUGUGUUUUUUACCACGGUCAAAACAGCACUUUAGUGCUGCACUUCAGUUUGACUUUGAAUUUUUGAAAUCGUCACAAAUUUUUAACAAACUUUGUUUUUCGAAUAAUCUUCAAUUUAUGUACGUACCAGUAGCUUUAAGAAAAAAUAAGAAUACACGAGUUUUUGAAAAAAUCUCUUUCUUCAUGUGAUACAUUUCCGACUAUUUUAAAUAUAAAUUCAACAUUUUAAUGUAACUCUGGGAAAAUUUUACAUAAACCAAUAUUUUUUAUUUGUUAGUUAGCUCUAAAGGUGAAGAUUUUUUUUUUGAAAAUUGUUAAAAAUUCAAAAUCCGUUAAAUAAACUUUAUCGAAACACAGUUUCCUUACUUUUUUUAAAUAUAAACAAACAAGAGCUUUUUUACAAUCAAAUCCAAUCAACCAAACAACAGUAAAGCCUCGUCCACACCCGGCAACUUGAGCUGCGAUUUCCGUUGCUGAUUUCCGUUUACACCUUGGUUGCUUAAAGGAGCAUGAGGUCUCCCAUACUUGUCGCGAGAUUUGAGACAUUGCAUCUCAUCGUCUAGUUUUAAGUGUAAACAUGAACAAGUCGCAGCAACCGAAAUCGCAGUUUAAGUUGCCUAGUGUAGACUAGGCUUAACAUUCUUUAGAAUCUUUGCUAUCAGGUUGAACCAAAAAAAAACAAGAAUAGCUCAAAAUAUCUUCUGGUAGACUUCCACACAUUUUUUCAGUAAGUGGAACAGGCCUUCGACGCUGCUCGCUACUACAACUCUUCACCGUAUUUUCUUCACCAACGCCAAAAUUUUUAAAAACUAAGCCGUUUCACUACCAUUAAUUGCUCAAGUAAGGUCAGCAGCAGCAUUUUACAGCCAAAAAAAGUCUUCAAAAAAUUUUCGGCUUUUUUCAUUGAAAAGAUCAAACCUGUGUCCCCGGAAGGAUCCCCGUUGCGGUUUUUUUAGUGUAACUUCAAGAACAAUACUGCUAACAACUCAGCACCGGAUCCUUCGUAACGUACAUAAAUAUUGAAGUCGUGUACAACUCAGCACUUUGGUCAAGAUGGAUUCACUAGGCUUCAGUAGGCUUGAAGCUUGACGAAUUCCGCAAAAUCGACCAUUGCCAUUGUAAAAAGCUGUUUUGUAUUUCGCUUUUGGUGCUUUAAAGCACCUGUAUAUGUAGUCUAUUCCUGGGUCUAAUUUUUACAAGAAUUAGAACUACAAUAUAAGAUCCAAUCCAGUGGAAAAAAGGCAACCUAAUUCGUGAUCUAUUAACUAUCAAAGUGUUUAGAACUGCGUAAAACUGGAUCCAAAUCUGCUAAGUUUUAGACCAAUCCUUAUACCAAUUCUAAAAAAAAAGUUGAGUCGGAACUGGUAAAAUGGACCACCAUUGGGAAUCUGAGCCGUACCGGAUUUGUCUCAAAUUAUUCAUACAAUAUCUGGGCAGUGAAGAAUAUACCGAUCAAUUUGGAAUGCUUAACCUGCGAAAAUAAACGAUACUCGAAGUUUCCAUCUGUGCUUAUGUUGAUAAAGCGAUACUUGUCAGCAAGGUUGCCAAUGAGCCAGAUUUUUCAGAAUUUUUUUAAGCCCAUCCUAAUAACCUGGUAAUAAGCUUCCUAUUUUACUCUAAGGCCGGAACAAAAUUCAAAUCCUUCUUUUGUCACUCGGAGUUAGAUCAUUGCAAGGGGGAUAAUAAAAUAAAAUGCAAAAAAAAAAACAAUCAUUUGGAAUAAAUUGUAUGAAAGCUUGCGUGCAUUAAAAUUGCAAACUAUAUUAUUGCACAAAACCCAUAUAUCAAGUAAUUUUUGAUCGAAAAAUUUAAUAAAAUCAAGCAUACAAUGAUAAAACUCCCAUCUUCCACAUUUUUUUUUUGCUCUUGUAAUCUUUCAGAUAUUUGAAAUUUUUUCCUAAAUUUCAAUAAAAUAUUUCAAACUUUAUUUAUUCCCCCCUUCGGGUUUUUGAAAAUUUCGAAGGGAGGGGGAGGGGGGUGACAGAAAAAGAAAUUGAUAUUUGUUCUGGCCUAAUUUUUGGAAAUUAGCCUGAUUUUACUUGAUUUCUGUAUUAUUACGGAAAAUGAUCUUUAUCAAUACUCAGAAUGAUAUACUAAAACCUGAUCUAAAACAUUGAAUAGUGGAUUGGAGCCUUUCUUAAAUGUUUUAAACUAUUUUUUAUCCAUCAUAAUUCGAAAUUCUAAAUCUGAAAUUUUAAAAUGCGCCAUCGGUCUUCUGCUUAUUUUCUUAUCCUAAAAUCUCGUCUGCAUACCAACCCAUAUAAGUAUGGUUUCAAAGUUUUUUUUUUUAACCUUUUUUCGGUUUAUUCAAUACUGCAAAUUAUUUUAGGCUACAUAUUUGAAUGCAGAAAACAAAAAUUCAAUUUGCAAUUAUGAAACCUCACAAUGAUGUAAUAAAAAUAAUCUCAAUGUCUUAUACCAUUUAAAAAAUAAAAACAAUUAGAAAAAAUAAUUUUGUUUUCUGGCAUAAAUCUCUUACUUUGAGGUCAAUAAAAUCAUUUCCAUCGAUAAAAUUUUUUUCAACGUGUUUAUGCAGUAGAGGGUCAAGUUAUAAUUCUCCGGGCCAGGCUUUCUAAAAUUUGGUAUUAAAUAUCCGGGCUAACCCGAAUAAAACUUGCAACCGUAGUCUAUACUACAGUGAGCGAAAUAAGAAUAGCACCACUAUAUGUUUCGCUUGUUAAAAUAUGAAUGAUUGAAAAUUACGAAAAUUUUCUUCCACAGAUUGUUCUGAAUUGCUUAACGGAUAAACCUAGCAUAAGUUUACUUUUUUUGGACGUAGCAAUUGGCGUUGAGGACCAAUAAUGUGGAAAAAGGGUGCGAAAUAAGAAUAGAACCACUUGAGUUUUUCUAACAAAACAAGAUUUUUUUCACAAAUUUACUGAGUAAAAGUGAAUAAUAAUGCUUCUUCGAGUUAUUUGAAUAGAUAACUGCAUUUUAGGAGUUUUCCAGAAUUCCAAAGGUUUUCAAAGGUUUCAAAAUGGGUGUUUUAAGAGAUGCUCCUCUAGCGUUAAGGAAUUAAAAAUUUGAGCUGUAAUUUUUUAUCAAAUUACUAACUUUCUUCAUAAAAAUGACGUGAAAUGAUGAAACAAACAUUCGAGAUUAAUUUUUAAUCAGAAAAAAUAGGUUGGAAAUCAAAAACUUUGAUUUUGUUCAGUAAACAAAACUUUUUUCCAGUUUCAAGUCGUAGAUUGCAGCACUAUCUUGCAGUUAACAACAAAUUUUGUCUCAAUAUUGAUUUUCCAGGUUUAUUUAGGCCCAUAUUCAUCAUUUUGAGGUAUUUUCCCAUUACAGUUUUGUGGAAGUUCACGCUGCAGAGAGCUUUUCCGGAUUUGCAAAAGAAUCACCAGCACAAAAAUGUACAACCGCCGAAAUUCCUGCUCAUCUCAACUUCCAAUUCAAUUGCAAAUCAUACCAAUAAUACUGCUAGCCGUCUGGUCCAUCAAGCUGCAUCCCAAAAUAUAACUUUAUUCUGAUAAUCGGUCCAAAAAAUUCACUUUUAGUGACCUUGAUGCAAUUCUAUUUUUUUUUGGAUUUAGUGAUCUUAGAAUUUCCAAAGCGUUCACACGAUACAUGUAUUUAUUUAUAGACCAAAAUCGUCCAGCACUCCCUAAUUAAUCCCAAAUAUUCGAAAAUGGGCAUGAAUUUGGUUUAAUGGCAAGAUAGUGCUGCCAUCUAUGACUUAAAACUAGAGAAAUAUUGUUUGAUUAUUAAAAAACAUUUGUAUUUUUGAAUCCCAACCUGCUUUUUGGAUUCAAACUCAGCCUCAAAUCUAUGUUUCAUCAUUUUACAUCAUACUUAUGAAUGUUAAUGAAGAAAUCAAGCAGUUUGAUAAAGUUUCAUAGCUCAAAUAUCUAAUUCCUUAACGCUAGAGGAACAUCUCUUAAAACCCCAAUUUUAAAACCUUUGAAAACCUUUGGAACUCCUAAAAUGCAGAUAUCUAUUCAAAUAACCCGUAGAAGUUUUAUUAUGCACUUUUACACAGUAAAUUUUUAAAACUAAUCUAGUUUUUGUUGGAAAAACUCAGGUGGUUCUAUUCUUAUUUCGCACCCCUUUUCCACAUUUUUGGUCCUCAACGCCAAUUGCUACGUCCAAAAAAAGUAAACUUAUGCUUGAUUUAUCCGUUAAGCAAUUCAGAACAAUCUGUGGAAAAUUUUUUUCGUAAUUUUCAAUCAUUCAUAUUUUAACAAGCGAAACACAUAGUGGUGCUAUUCUUAUUUCGCUCACUGUAUAACAAUCUGUUUUUGUAAGAAAUGCGAAAAUGGUCAUCAGUGAUUUUGUAGCUUUUCCAGCAUUACUCUUGAAAGGAGGAGUGGUCUGAUCCGUAAGAGGGAAAUUUCCUGUAUAUUAUAAAUUAUCUAAACAUUUGAUAAAUAAAAUACAACUGUUAUUGUAUCAAUGUUAGCAGCUUACAUUACUGAAACAAAAAGAAAUUAUCUGCAUAUUCGGUCGAAUAUACGGCUCAAUCAUUCGGUGAGCCGAAUAUUUAACUUAACGAAAAUUUUCAUGAUAGGUUCGUGGAAAUAUGUUUCUGUUUAGAAAGAACCUUGAAGAAGAUUUGAGCGCCGAUGUGGUCUAGUGGAUAGGCUGGCGCGAGUCUGGUUCUGGUUUGCCAGGCGUACUGGGUUCGAUUCCCGGUAUCGGCAAGAAAACUUUUGGGUUCGAAUCCCAUAAGUGGCCGACAGGUAAGAUGUGUUUCCUCAUAUAACUGACUAUAUAAUAAGAAUGAUCAAUCAGUUGCCAGCUGGCCAGGUAUAUACACGGAUGCCGGAAUACCUGUAAGUAAACUAGCCCACCUGAUUGACUCAUUCUUCCAAAAUAAACGUACAUCAACACGAUACAUUCAUCCAUAACAGUUCAUACGAAGCCAUGGGGUCCGGGUAUGGUGUACGCGUUGCAUUGGAGAUUUUCCGAACAUAAUAAUCUAAAGAAUGCAUGUGAGCACAUACUUAGGCAGAAACUGCGGUGAAUCCGUGCACCCAUGGUGGAUAACCAACAUACAUACAUACAGAAAGAACCUUGAAGAAGAUUUUAGCCAUAACCAUAUGUGGUUCUUGUUUCCGUUUUUUAUGGAAUUACUUCUGAUUAGUAUGAUCUUCAUCCAUCACCGGAGUUUGUGAAAUACUUUUUAAGACUUAUACUCUGAUCAUUAUUUCUCAUAUAUUUUCGCCGAAAUCUGCAUAUAAUAUUUUCAGUUAAAAUGAAAAUCUGGUGAAAUCCUUUACGGGUGGACUAUUGACCCAAUAAUUCUAGAAAAAAAACCUACUUUCCCCUGUUAACGCAGCUAUGUGGCAUUUAUUCACCCUGCGUACUUAUGCCACAAACCGGAGACCUGCGGACAUGACAUUCGUUCAUUGAGAAAUCAAGACAAGUCCGAAUAGGGCAUCAUAAUAUAUGCAUAUUUACCGUCAUCAAAAACUAGAGCAUUCCAGGUAAUUAUCCGUAAUGUCGGAGCUGCUGAACUAUUUGUGCUACUACACUGCUUCCUCGGUGCAUAACUGAAAGCCGGAAUCCUGUCCACUCCAACAGAAGAAAUACUAGGUACCUACUUAUCUACAUAUCGUCGUCCACUUUUAUGGCUCGAUCGUGUGACACGCGCAAAUGAAAGCAAACGCAAAGAAGAACCUCCUUAUGCAUACCUACUUCAAACAUGCGCAUUGAAUCCCAGUGUUUUUUUCUGUUGAACUUCGUCGAACGUGAUCGUCUCGGAUAUUUUUUUAUAUUCUUUGAUUUGUGGUGGAUUAAAUAUUUGAGCAAUGAAUCGGAUGAAGCGGACAGAAAACGAAAAUAUUCCUAAUUCGACCGCGCUCUGUAUGCAAUAAGUGAAAAGUGAAAUCGAAAGUACUGCCUGGGUUUACGAUGGAUGUACGAUUUUGCCAUUGUGUGUGGCUUUUGCAUACCGAUAGGCUCAGUGACUCAGUUGAUGUGGCGGCCUAAAGGGGCAUGAGAACCGAAAAUAAAUCCAGUGAAUUCGAAAAUUAAAUAGUCAACAUUGUUCAUUGGCUCGUAAUACUGACAAUCCCAUGAAGUGCAUACUACUUGCGCAGUAGACGUCGCGUGUUCCAUCUUCGUCGAUUACGAUUACCAACAAUCGACAGCCAUAUAUUCCAAGCAAAAACAAUGCAUCGGCAGAAAAAGAAAUAAAAACCCAUUACCAGAUCACACAAGCGGAAGAAACGCAUUACCGAAAAUUGAUAAUUGAUACUCACCUUCGGCAAAAACCAUCGAAAACGAAGAGACCUGUCAAUGCUAGCCAAAGCUAGCUAGAAUUUGGAAACACUCGAAAUGGACGACAACGAGAACUACUUGGAGUACUCCAAAAUGAACUUCUCCCAGUUUUCGUCUCCCUUCGGUGGGGCGCUGACGGCGAAUCAGUUUACGGCGGCGAAGUUCCCUCCAAAUUUGACUACGGCCAACGGGCAGGUA